AAUGUCAUCACCAAAACAUCGAACCCCUCGCGUGUAAUCCAAAUACAAUUUGAAACUCAAAAUUACAUCAAAACUCCUAAAACAGACUCUAUGACUUAGACGCAACUAGGAGUCUUGAAGUCUUGAUUUCCUGCAAACCAAUUCAUUCAAAAAAUAAUUAGCACUAAAUUCUUAUACCUUCUCCCCCUUUGUUCUUCACAUCUCGAUCACAUCUCCCCCUUUGUUCUUGAACUCAUCAUCCUCUGCUUAGUUCAUUGCCUGUUCAUCCAUGCUCUCCCCCUUCAUCUACGCUCUCCCCCUUUUUGUCAAAAAUUGCCAAAAGAAAGCAAAUAAAGAGAGAAAACAUACUAGAAAAGCAUAAGCGUAAUCAAGUCAUAGUUACAGGCCUAAAACAAAAAACAAGCAGAACUGAAACUAAAACAUCAUCCUAAAAUGCAAAUGAAGUAAAAGAGAGAGACUAAGCUCGACGAACGAUCUCAGAUUUCGAAAAAUUUGCUUUAAAAAUCCAUCAAAUUAAAUUAAUUUCAAAUAAAUUAAGGCUUUUACUCCAAGAAUCAUUAUAAUGACAAUAAGAUAUUAUAAAAUUUCAAAAUACAUCAAAACAUCAAAAUUUCAUUAUCAAAAAUAAUUUAAUGAUUCAAAACCAUCAAGAUGUAAGUUGAUGAAAAAUGAUUUUUAGAAAUUCAACAAAAAUUGACACCAAUUUGUCGUAACACGUUCAAAAUAGAGAUUUAACCAAUAUGAUACCGGGGGUGGCUCUUUGAGCAUCUUUUUCAAACUAGCACCUUAUUACUCCGAAAAUUCUAAAAUAUUUUUUUUUUUUCAACCUUUUUCGGCUUUUUCAAUUAAAUUCCAUGUGGUAGCUUCACACACUUGCCGGACGACCGGAGUGGUAGCUCUUUCCUACAUGUGGUGGUAGUUUUCACAU
rnacentral:lncRNA from 1 species